rnacentral:rRNA from 1 species
GAUGAACGCUGGCGGCGUGCCUAACACAUGCAAGUCGAGCGAUUCUCUUCGGAGAAGAGCGGCGGACGGGUGAGUAACGCGUGGGUAACCUGCCCUGUACACGCGGAUAACAUACUGAAAGGUAUGCUAAUACGGGAUAAUAUGCUUUAGUCGCAUGGCUGAAGUAUCAAAGCUCCGGCGGUACAGGAUGGACCCGCGUCUGAUUAGCUAGUUGGUAAGGUAACGGCUUACCAAGGCGACGAUCAGUAGCCGACCUGAGAGGGUGAUCGGCCACAGUGGAACUGAGACACGGUCCAAACUCCUACGGGAGGCAGCAGUGGGGAAUAUUGCACAAUGGGCGAAAGCCUGAUGCAGCAACGCCGCGUGAGCGAUGAAGGCCUUCGGGUCGUAAAGCUCUGUCCUCAAGGAAGAUAAUGACGGUACUUGAGGAGGAAGCCCCGGCUAACUACGUGCCAGCCGCCGCCGUAA